GAUGAACGCUGGCGGCGUGCUUAACACAUGCAAGUCGAGCGGUAAGGCUCCUUCGGGAGUACACGAGCGGCGAACGGGUGAGUAACACGUGAGCAACCUGCCCUUCUCAUCGGAAUAAGCGUUGGAAACGACGUCUAAUGCCGAAUACGACUUCGGAAGGCAUCUUCUGAAGUGGAAAGCUCCGGCGGAGAAGGAUGGGCUCGCGGCCUAUCAGCUUGUUGGUGAGGUAAUGGCUCACCAAGGCGACGACGGGUAGCCGGCCUGAGAGGGUGACCGGCCACACUGGGACUGAGACACGGCCCAGACUCCUACGGGAGGCAGCAGUGGGGAAUAUUGGGCAAUGGGCGCAAGCCUGAUCCAGCAACGCCGCGUGAGGGAUGACGGCCUUCGGGUUGUAAACCUCUUUCAGCAGGGACGAAGCGAAAGUGACGGUACCUGCAGAAGAAGGACCGGCCAACUACGUGCCAGCCGCCGCAGUAA
rnacentral:rRNA from 1 species